AAGCAUACUUAGCAAGGGAGACACUGUGACCAUGAAGAUGGCAUUUCCAGGUGAGACUUAUCCUUUGCCCUCCAUAUGUGCUGACCACUGUGAUUUUGCUAAAUGUAGGUCACUUGACUGCAUAAUCUGUGGUAGUGGGGGACUGCACUCUUCAUCUCCCUG